GACGAACGCUGGCGGCGUGCCUAAUACAUGCAAGUCGAGCGAGCAAUUUUGACGGAAUACUUCGGUAGGGAGUCAGAAGCGCGAGCGGCGGAUGGGUGAGUAACACGUGGGCAACCUGCCCUUUAGCUUGGGAUACCACUUGGAAACAGGUGCUAAUACCAAAUAAGCAGCACGAGCGCAUGCUCAAGCUGAGAAAGGCGGCUUUCGAGCUGUCACUAAAGGAUGGGCCCGCGGUGCAUUAGCUAGUUGGUAAGGUAACGGCCUACCAAGGCGAUGAUGCAUAGCCGAGUUGAGAGACUGACCGGCCACAUUGGGACUGAGACACGGCCCAAACUCCUACGGGAGGCAGCAGUAGGGAAUCUUCCACAAUGGACGCAAGUCUGAUGGAGCAACGCCGCGUGAGUGAAGAAGGUUUUCGGAUCGUAAAGCUCUGUUGUUGGUGAAGAAGGACAAGGAAAGUAACUGAUCUUUGUUUGACGGUAAUCAACCAGAAAGUCACGGCUAACUACGUGCCAGCAGCCGCGGUAAUACGUAGGUGGCAAGCGUUGUCCGGAUUUAUUGGGCGUAAAGCGAACGCAGGCGGGAAGAUAAGUCAGCUGUGAAAGCCCCCAGCUUAACUGGGGAACUGCAGCUGAAACUAUGUUUCUUGAGUGCAGAAGAGGAGAGUGGAACUCCAUGUGUAGCGGUGGAAUGCGUAGA
rnacentral:rRNA from 1 species